AUGAGACAAAGGAAGCAAAACCAGACGCAUUUACAUGAGACCACAUGCGCACCGCUAGAGGAAGAGUUCGGGUGGGAGCCAUGGCUCGCUCCUAAUUAUGACGAGCGCUCUUUCCCGGGAACUCGACUGGCUCUCGGGGGUCCCCGGAGCUGCCAGGGACUUCCACCCCUCACUCCGCCCGCUUCCACGGAUAGAAAGAAGCGGUGCUGUCGGCGCUCCGAGCCUCAGCCUAGGGAGGUCCCUCAGUUAAUGCCAUCUGAGGCAUUAACUUCCAUCAACCAUCCAGUCGGCCUCCUCAGAUGCCGAACUUCAGACCUCAGCAGACUCAGGCCCCCUAAGUCCAGCAGUGGAGAGCUCACUCGAGCUCGUCCAGCCCCACGCCUCAUCUGCUGGAGGGCCCGAGGAGCCCGUCCAGCCCCACGCCUCGUCAGCUGGGGGGCCCGAGCAGCCCGUCCGGCCUCCAGCCUCGUUGGGGCCCGUCAAGCCACGCCCACAACUGUACCAUCACCGGCCAUUUUCCAGGCCACCAGCUGGACGCCAUUGCCGUCGAGGGCGGCCCCCAGAACUGCUUGCCCGUCGCCGCCGUUGCCGCCCGCACGGUCGGCCCCCAGAACUGCUUGGCCGUCGCCGCCGUUGCCGUCCGCAUGGUCGGCCCCCUGAACUUUUUGGGGCUCGUGAUAGAUUUAGUUUAGUUUUGUCAGUUUUCCUGGACUCUUGCUCCUUGCUUUUUGUUUGGUUUCUGAUGUCAGUGUAUGUAGUUUCACUUUCCCUGUCCUGUCAUUAGGUUCAUGUGUAUCAGCUGUUCCCCCUCAUGUGUUUCCACCUCCCUUGAUCACCCCUUAUGUGUAUUUAGUCUCUGUGUUUCAUUGAGUCUGGGUCGCGUCGUCUGUGUUCCCACCCUCCAUGUCCUCACGGCCAGUCUUUACAGUCAUCGUCAUGGUCUUCAGAGUCUUCUUAGUUUAUCAGUAUCUGCUUCCCAGUUUAGUUUAAGUUCAGUUUAGUCAUGGUAUUUCUGCUUUGUUUGAGACCUGUCAACAGCCAUAAUAAAGGCUCGCUUUCAGUUUAAGUUUACUCCGGUCUACUCUCUUGUGUUCGCACCUGGGUCCACCACACACCCCACCGCACGGUCUGUCUCCUCAGAUCGUGACAGAGUUGAUCUAAAGUUUCCUUUUAAUAGCAUUUUGAACUGAAAUGAAGAAAUUGCCAAUUCAGGAGGACUUUUAUUCUGAAUUUGGUUCUCAGUUUCGCUUAUUGUAAUACAAAGUAUACAAGUGACGGCUGGCUCGAUUGUGCUUAUACAUACUCAUGGAGAGGCAGCUUUUCAGUGGUAUGGUCCUCGUCCGUGGAACAGCCUGCCGGAGGAGCUCAGGGCCGCAGAGAACAUACAUGGUUUUAAGAACAGGCUCAAGACCCACCUUUUUAAUUUAGCUUUUACCUAACAUUUAUUUAUUUUAUGCUUAUUUAUUCUAUCCUGUUAUUCUAUUUAUAUUAUUAAUUUAGGUUUUACCUAAUAUUUAUUGAUUUUAUUCUUAUUCAUUUUUUAUCUUCUUACUUUAUUUAUAUUUAUAUUGUAUCCCAUUCUUAUUUAUUUUAUCUUUUUAUCCUGUAUAUAUUCUUAUUGGGUCAUAUCUCCAGUGUUUCCUCAGAGGGGGCUCUCUGCACCAGGGCUGUGAUCGACCCUGCCUGCUGGGGCUCUGUUGGUCUUCUCAGCCUGGCUGGAGGGCUUCUUUGCCUCCCUCCUGCUGUGUGCCCAGCCUGGAGGCUGCGGUCUGUGACCGGCUCCCGGUGCAGACGGCUCCCUGUGAUAGUGUUUCCUCACCUGGCUCAUGUGUGCCCAGCCCAAUUUUACUCUUUAAGUGUGUGUGUGUGUGUGUGUGUGGGGGGGGGGGAUGUGUGUGUAUGUAUCCAUGAUCGUUUAUGUUAAUGAGAGUGUAGGGAGUGAGUUGGAGGGCGGGGUGGGGUGGGGUAGGGUGGGCUGCUUUUAGCCAUGUAAAGCACUAUGUGCUACAUUUCUGUAUGAAAAGUGCUUUAUAAAUAAAGAUUGAUUGAUUGAAGAUUGACAGCAGUCCUAAGUUUUAUAUUGUUAACUGGUAAUCGAAAGACUAUGCAUUUCAGGUCAUUUUACAGAUUAACGAGAAAUUAAUGUAAUGAGAAGUGUAACAAAUUAUUUUUCUGUUGAGUAAUUAAGUAACUGUAUUACUUUUAAGAAAAGUAACAAAUAAUAAAUAACACAUUGCUGUUUCUGUGUAAGGACUACAACACUGGCAGUGAUUGAGUUUUUCAUAAAUGUUUCUUCACAACUUUAGGAGUAUGUCACUGAAUGCUAGCUUGAGUUACGCAUGUCCAAUGCUCUCGACUCUUAAUGGCUGGCCCCACAUUUAAGUUGUGCAUUAUUUUAUUUCUUUUCAGCCAUGAAGCAUUUACUGAAAUUCUGUGCACAUAUAAAGAAGGCCCAGAUUACACUCCUGUUCACCACAUUUCUUGACAGCUCUUGUGAUCCAUAUCAUUUUGCUUUCAUUAUUGAGGAUUGCUUGGAUGUUUUUGUUAACAUGUACAAUCUGAUUGUUAGAUAAACUGUUUGCAUUCUAUACAACUACAUUUAAAUUACAUGUGCGUUUUUUUUCUCUCUCUCUUUCAGACAAAAUGAUAUGCCGGUGCAGGCUGCCAUGUAGGACAACAGGACACAAUCAUAUGGUGUGGGUAUAUGGCAAGGCAUUUACUGUCAUGUCAGCAUUCUUCCAUGCCAAAUCAGCCACCACUAUCAGGACUACUCUCCGAGGAGCCUUGUCUUCCUCCCGCUGGACUCUCCGAGGAGCCCCGUCUUCCUCUCGAUGUCUUGUCUCCAGCAUCUAAACCAUUUUCUGAAUCUUCAGUAGAACAUUCAUGUGUUCUACCCUCUGUGCUAAAUGAAACUGCGACUUAUGAAAAGUCCAUGAAAAUGAAAUGCCCUCACUGUGGUCUUAGUCUUCUUAAAAAAAACUUCAGCGCUCACAUGAUGAGGAGGCAUUCAAACAGAUCAAUAGAUAUUUGCCUGGCCUGUUAUCUGCAGUGUGUUUGUGCAGAGGGACUUCUUCCUCUUUAUUUUACACUUUGCAGAGGACAUGGAGCUCUUUUUAAAAGCAUGUGCUGACGAGCAGGGACUACGGGUCAAUGUGAUGUUUGACAUUUAAUGGACAGAUGAAGGCACUGGCUCUUUGUUUUUUUAUGUGUUGUUGGGGUUUUUUUUCAGUGUACAGAAUUCCAGUUAAACUUAUUUCAAAAUAUUGUUCACUUCUUUCCAUGUCAAUACUUAUAGUAAGAAAUUACUGUGUAAAUGUAACAGCAUUGCUUAUACUUUUAACUUCAAAAUAAAAAGAUUACCGUUGAUAUUAACAGC
ensembl:lncRNA